GUAAGUUUUUGCCAAAAAAAGGAACAAGUUAUUUAAAACAUCCAAACUACAUGCUACUACCACACUAAAAGAAUCUUCAGCAAUCUACAAGAUAUCUUCUUUUAUGUUCAACAUAAGAAAGCAACUCAUACAGGUUUGGAACGACAUGAGGGUGAGUAAAUGAUGACAGAAUUUUCAUUUUUGGGUGAACUAUCCCUUUAAGCUGAGGCUCAGAACACUUUACUGCUCUCUUGUGGUCAUUUGGUGAAUUACUUUAGUUCGAAAAGACUUAUGCAUCUGCAAAAAAGAUUUAAAUGGGUAAAGAUGCCAUUGAUGCUUAAUAAAUUUAAGACGCUCACUGGAUUUUUGUCUAGUCUUUUUUUUUUUAUUAGAACAUUUUUUGAAUUAAAAUUCUGAAAGGGUGUGAAAUUUUGAAGAGCAUUUCCUGUGAGAGGCGGCUGAUAGGAAAUGUGAAAAUAGCCAACCACAGUGCAACAUGACAUGCAGACUUCACUCACAUACUGCAUUAACAACUAUUGCAAGACUUUACCAAGCAGCAGAGAUCAGAGGGAUGUCAUUUUGAAUUCAGCAGAUGAAUGGAUAAAAAUGACUUCCAAUCAGUCUGAGGCUCUUUCUCAACCUUCCACACCUUUAGCAACCUUUUCAAUAAUGGCCGUGUUGUCCAUCAUGUGGUGUCUUAUUUUUUUAUUGGUAUUCAGUAUCUGCUUGUUUUUAUUUAAAAUCCCACAGAACAAAAAUCAAAAAUCACAACUGAAAACUCCGGAAGAUGAGGUCACGGAUGCAGAUGUUUAUUUAAAUGAGGCCUCUGAGAAGAUGAAGAAACGAGAAAAACAUAAAAGUUACAAAGAGAGGGUAAACUCAGUGUACUAUGAGUGGAUUAGGGAUCACUCACCACAGAGGAAUCCAAGCAAUUCAGAUUGUACAGUACAGUACACAUUGUAAACUACUGGACUGCUCUUUAAAGAGAGAGAGAGAGAGAGAGAGCUUUGUUCUUGUUUUAGUAAUAAGAAAUGUAUGUGUUAUAAGUGCAAACACCAUUUGUUUUCAUUGAUCAUGAUAAUCCAUAAGAGGGCGCUGUUGCAACUUAAUCACUAAUAAGGUGAGCUUCAUAAACAACAAAUAUUAAAGGGUUAGCUCACCCCAAAAAUGAAAAUUCUUGUGUCAUUCCUAACCUUUAGGCCUUGUUUUUUUCUUCUUCUCCCAUACAAGUUUAGAACAACAUUGGGUUGAGUAAAUGAUGACAGCAUUUUCACAUUUUUGGUUGAACUAUUCCUAUAAAUACUUGACAGACUGAAGUACUUUAUGUGCAAUAAAUUUCUUCCAACAUUAUUAGACCUACUGAAA
ensembl:lncRNA